UACGUAGGGGGCAAGCGUUGUCCGGAUUUAUUGGGCGUAAAGAGCGUGUAGGCGGCCUGAAAGGUCAGCUGUGAAAACUCGAGGCUCAACCCCGGGAGGCGGGCGGAUACUGUCGGGCUAGAGUCCGGAAGAGGCGAGUGGAAUUCCUGGUGUAGCGGUGAAAUGCGCAGAUAUCAGGAGGAACACCAAUGGCGAAGGCAGCUCGCUGGGACGGUACUGACGCUGAGACGCGAAAGCGUGGGGAGCAAACAGG
rnacentral:rRNA from 1 species